CAUUUUGUUGUGGGUUUUUUUAAGGGGGUUAUGGAUUAAAACCCUUCCCCAUUUGGGCACAUUUUGCUUGAUCAGAGUUUUAGCCCCAGCUGUAUAAUGCAUCCUGAUACUUACCUAAAUAAGGUUCUCGUUGGGAGCGAGCAAGGUCC